CAGAUGCUAAUACCGGAUAACAACAGAUGAUGCCUAUCAACUGUUUAAAAGAUGGUUCUGCUAUCACUCUUGGAUGGACCUGCGGUGCAUUAGCUAGUUGGUAGGGUAACGGCCUACCAAGGCGAUGAUGCAUAGCCGAGUUGAGAGACUGAUCGGCCACAUUGGGACUGAGACACGGCCCAAACUCCUACGGGAGGCAGCAGC
rnacentral:rRNA from 1 species